UUUCGCAAUGCCCGAAAGGGUGACGAAGCGACGCCGCGUGUGGGAAGAAGGCCUUCGGGUUGUAAACCACUGUCGGGAGUUAGGAAAUGCAGGUGCGUUAAUAGCGCACUUGCUUGACUAAGGCUCCAGAGGAAGCCACGGCUAACUCUGUGCCAGCAGCCGCGGUAAUACAGAGGCGGCAAGCGUUGUUCGGAAUUAUUGGGCGUAAAGAGCACGUAGGCGGCCUUGCAAGUCAGUUAUGAAAGCCUUCCGCUUAACGGAAGAACGGCAUCUGAUACUACAGGGUUUGAGUACGGGAGGGGAGAGUGGAACUUCUGGUGGAGCGGUGAAAUGCGUAGAUAUCAGAAGGAACGCCGGCGGCGAAAGCGACUCUCUGGUCCGAAACUGACGCUGAGUGUGCGAAAGCUAGGGGAGCAAACGGGGUUAGAUACCCCGGUAGUCCUAGCCGUAAACGAUGGGCACUAAGUAGAGGGGUUUU
rnacentral:rRNA from 1 species